GAGCUCACUUCAGCAGCACAUAUAUUAACAUUGGACAAUACAGAGAUUAACAGGGCCCCUGCAUGAGGCUGACCUGCAAACUUGUGUUUUAUUUUUUUUUUUA